GUUUUCAUUCUUGUGAAAAGCCCAGCCCAAAUUCCAAAGGUACCUAAGAAUAAUUCUAAGAAGUCCAAGGUUCAAGUUUAGCCGAGAAAUUCAAUUGAGGACUUGUCUUGCAACUUCAAUCUUUCCAUUAUGCAGCUAGGGUUCGUCCAAUAUAAUAUAAGUGCCAAAUUCAGUUAAAACGUCGCCGUAACACCCACUCUCUCAAAGUUUCUAUAUAAAUACAGCGAAUACCAGCUCUUCUUUUCCAUCGGCGCUAGGGUUUAUCCCUUUGCUCUCCUACAUGUGUUUCAGGUUUGAAACCUCCUGCACAGCGAGAUUUGCCUUUUGAGUCGAGCUCGUCGUACGGGGCUUGCCUAGUGCGGCUUAUCUCUUUUGUGUUGUUUGCGAGCUAGUGUACAGGAGCUGGAUUUACCCUGUGCACACCCGAAGGGUAGCUGGUUCCCAUGUUAUCAAAAAUAAAAAUAAAAAAUAGUGGUAAUAAACGAAGCAGCGGCAGAAAGUUUAUUUAGUGUAAUCUGUUGGAGCUAUUAAGUUGAGCAUGUAUUUUGUAUACUAUGCACCAAAAACAUGCUUCAAAUUCCUCGUUAAUUGUGUAUUUCAAUCAUCUAAUAUUUCAAAUUUCAUUUCCCAUUAUGUCAAUUUUGAUUAAUUUAGUGAAAAUGUAUUAGUAUUUAUUUAGAUUGAGUAAAUUUCUUAAGGAGUAUGCUCAGACUAAAAAAAUAUUGUAUGAUAUUAAUCAGAGGCAAUAUAGUUUUUGACUA